AAUGAACGCUGGCGGCAUGCCUAACACAUGCAAGUCGAGCGGAGCGGCGGACGGGCGAGUAAUGCCUAGGAAUCUGCCUUGUAGUGGGGGCUAACGUCCGGACACGGGCGCUAAUCCCGCAUACUAUCAGAUGAGCCUAGUUCGGAUUAGCUAGUGGGUGGGGUAAAGGCCUACCAAGGCGACGAUCCGUAACUGGUCUGAGAGGAUGAUCAGGCACACUGGAACUGAGACACGGUCCAGACUCCGACGGGAGGCAGCAGUGGGGAAUAUUGGGCAAUGGGCGAAAGCCUGAUACAGCCAUGCCGCGUGUGUGAAGAAGGUCUUCGGAUUGUAAAGCACUUUAAGUUGGGAGGCGUUACCAACAGAAUAAGCACCGGCUAACUUCGUGCCAGCAGCCGCGGUAAUAC
rnacentral:rRNA from 1 species